UGAGGUGGCGAGCGGCGGACGGGUGAGUAAUGCCUAGGGAUCUGCCCAGUCGAGGGGGAUAACAGUUGGAAACGACUGCUAAUACCGCAUACGCCCUACGGGGGAAAGGAGGGGACCUUCGGGCCUUCCACGAUUGGAUGAACCUAGGUGGGAUUAGCUAGUUGGUGAGGUAAUGGCUCACCAAGGCGACGAUCCCUAGCUGUUCUGAGAGGAUGAUCAGCCACACUGGGACUGAGACACGGCCCAGACUCCUACGGGAGGCAGCAGUGGGGAAUAUUGCACAAUGGGGGAAACCCUGAUGCAGCCAUGCCGCGUGUGUGAAGAAGGCCUUCGGGUUGUAAAGCACUUUCAGUAGGGAGGAAAGGUUGUAAGUUAAUACCUUGCAGCUGUGACGUUACCUACAGAAGAAGGACCGGCUAACUCCGUGCCAGCAGCCGCGGUAAUACGGAGGGUCCAAGCGUUAAUCGGAAUUACUGGGCGUAAAGCGUGCGCAGGCGGUUGAUUAAGCGAGAUGUGAAAGCCCCGGGCUCAACCUGGGAAUUGCAUUUCGAACUGGUCAACUAGAGUCUUGUAGAGGGGGGUAGAAUUCCAGGUGUAGCGGUGAAAUGCGUAGAGAUCUGGAGGAAUACCGGUGGCGAAGGCGGCCCCCUGGACAAAGACUGACGCUCAGGCACGAAAGCG
rnacentral:rRNA from 1 species